UCGAAAGCGCUACAAUGGAGAGAUACAUGUGUCUCUGCUUGCAGUCACUGAAGCUGUCAAACUUGAUUUGAGAGAAGUUGUGCAACACAGCACUGGGAAAGUUUCGAUGGCUUUCCAAAAGAGAUUUCAACUCGGCCGCGGCGGCAAGGACAGCGGAGAAGAGUUACUUCCACCCGGCAGCUGCAACAAAGUGCUGAGUGGGACACAGAAGACCAAAUUCAAGGCGAGAGGAAUACCAGUCCUACAGUGACAUCGAUUCUUCCACAAAACAGGAGUGAGGAACGCCGGUGGCUUCAAAGCACCCACAGCCUUCUCCCGGGCCAAUUAUGUGCAUCAGGGAGAGACAGCUACAGCAAGCGUCACAUCUAUAAAGGCUCCAUCACUUGACUGCCUAUACAGCAGCCAAUAUAGAACUACGCUACAAUGCAGUAAACAAAUUGGACGUAAUUUCAUUCGACACCAAACUGGGUCUCCUUGAUGUGUGUUGUUUUUUUUUUUUGAGGGGUGGGGGUGGAUUAUUUGCAGUUGCACAGCAAUCAAACAUGAGUGAAUCCCCUCGCACAGAAAACGAUGUUCAUUCCUUUGAGAACUGAAAGAGGAGAUGAGUGACAGGCUGCUGAACUGGCCUUUGCCGGUCCUUCACGACGCCUUAUAGGGAGGCGGGAAAGCUCAUGGGCUCUUUCAACGCGGCACAAAGAGAAAAGGGACGUUAAAGAGGAUUAUUUAAAAAAAAGAGAGAGAGAGGGGAGAUGUUUAAAGAGAAAAAGGUCUGGCAACGCUUUCUGUGUUUGCCAUUCAGGUCAAACACAAGGGAGCAUUCAGCCAAUGGGAACUGAUUCCCACCUACCCCCACCCCCGGCUUCCACUUCAUCCCACACGGUUUUUCAAGAGGGAAGCUGCUUCACUGGCAAUAAGAGAACAUUUGGAAUAAACUCAAUGAACGCUGGAACAUGACGGAGCAGAGCCAGCAGCUCGCUUUGAGGCGCGACAAUGUUAAUCAGCCCAACGGUCCUGUUCAAAGACACUUGGCCCGCUGAGCAGCUCGCUGGCGUUUACAACUACAGCUGCUGCUUCACGUCACCAUUAAAAGAUGUUGACUGGCGGCUCGGAGAACAGUUUAUCAACUUAACAAGCUUUCAAUCCGUCGCCUCAACACCCACACCGGGACGCGCACGCGCAUUGCACAACGCGGACCGAAGAUGAGGGUAACAGGAAGGCUGUUUACUGGAGGGGGUUUGAACUGAAACGGAUACAAACAAAUGGACGCAUAUUAGCAAUUGAUCAAAUGAACAUGAACAAUUGUGUCAAUUAGGUGGACAUGAUUAAUCGUGUCAAGACAAAACAGCGCAAUGUUUGGUUGCAACCAGCAGAGGCACUGUUGAUUCACUCUCAACCAGUUUAUGGAUUGGCGGCAGAAUUGUUCGCAAAACAGGACCAUGCUGAGGCUGGGAUUAGUGAACUGUUCUUAACCCGCACCAAGGGGAUUAAAAAAAACAAAAAAAGUGUGGGGGGGUGGGGGGCAACCCCAAACUGUGCCUGCUUUGCUGAUAAACUUGAGUCCACAAGCCCAAGGACAUGCUUCAUGUUUUGCCAUGCAGAUGAUUCCCAAGUUACGCCAUAAAAAAAAAAUCAAUUUGAGUGAUCGCUCUGGCAAUAUUUUGCCUUUAGCAGCUGCAAUAAUCAAUUUUUGCAAAGGAAUUUCAUUCUGGAAAAGUAAUGAAGUUAAGAUUGCAUACAGGUUGCAUUUUCAGGUCGCUACCACUCGUUCGCCUUGCACCACCGACAAAGCACCAGACGCUGCCACCUUUCUCAACAUGAGCGUCGCCAGCCGAAUAACAAAUAGGAAAAUAUUCAUUUUUGUGGCCCUCAUUUAAAGUGGGAUCCUUUCUUCUGUAAAAGUAGAGAUUCAGUCGAAAGUUAAAAGGGUUAACAUUGCAAAAUAAGGGAGUCGAAUUAAUUUCCUGGUUUGGAGCACAAAUUGACGCCACCGUCGUCAGAUGUAGUCGUCGUAGCAAGUGAAUAUCUGCAGCUGCAGCACACACACUUCAGUUUCUGGUCACGGGAAGGUCUAAUCCCCCCUUUAUUCUGACUAGACCUCGCCCCACAUAUUGCAUGUCACUUUCAUUUUCCAUCACUUGUUUUCAGGGCUCUCUCUCAUCAGCAUAGCCAACAUUGAUGAGAGAGUCUCCGUGACAACCAUCACUGGGUGGUCUCGUUUUUAAGUCAAGGGAUAUUGCCGCAGAAUCUGACUUUCCGUCACCCUUUGGGAUUCUUACAAAUUUCUGCGCUAAAAACACGUAAAAUUACACACACCGACCAUAUGCAGUUGGACAUUUGUGUUUCAAACGGAAGCUUAAUUUCACUUUAAUGGAUUAUUUUAGUUUUUUUUUUUUUUUUAGUGGGGCUCCUUGAUGCCCACCUCUUUUUCACCACGCACACAUCUCAGCUCUCGAAAAAAAACCACAUCUCUCGCUUGUUUCCCCAAAGCCUAUCCUCUGAAACAACCUGCGAUCAUUAUAUUGUUUUUUUUUUUCCAUCGGGUUGAGUCGAAGAAACGUUGCUAUUAUUGUUUUCUCGCGCUCCGGUGUGGUAUUCACGUCCCCUGGCACAACCAUUAAAAAAAAUAAAUAAAUAACCCGAAAGAAUUGAGUGUAAAUUCAGGCAGGAAGGAAACAGGAAAUGAAGCUUUCAAAGGAAAAUCAAAGGAGGGGGAACACCUUUUCUGAAAUAUUAUCGAAUAGAACCCAACUAUGUGCUGCUGAAGUCAUUUCAAUCGAAUUGAUUCUGCAUUUGUUUCAGUAAUGAGCACAUAAAAGAGUAUUAGCACUACACCAAAAAUACAUAUAUACAUGUAAAAACAAAGUACCAAGAGUAAUGUUACAGGACAAAAGGUCGGCAAAAUAUUUAGGAAA